rnacentral:rRNA from 1 species
UAUUACCUACGGGACGCAGCAGUGGGGAAUAUUGCGCAAUGGGGGCAACCCUGACGCAGCAACGCCGCGUGCAGGAAGAAGGUCUUCGGAUUGUAAACUGUUGUCGCAGGGGAAGAAGACAGUGACGGUACCCUGAGAGAAAGUCACGGCUAACUACGUGCCAGCAGCCGCGGUAAUACGUAGGUGACAAGCGUUGUCCGGAUUUACUGGGUGUAAAGGGCGCGUAGGCGGGAUAGCAAGUCAGUCGUGAAAUGCCGAGGCUUAACCUCGGAGCUGCGAUUGAAACUGUACUUAUUGAGUAUAGG